CAUGCAUGCACAGAACAUGCUGUUACACCUCUAUAAAAGAGAACGUGCAGAAGGUAACUUUACGUUUUCUGAGGUUUGCAUUCAUCAGAACCAUCAAAUAUGCAUUUUCUUAAAGUCGCAGUGCUCCUUGUAGCAGUUCUUGCUGCAGUGUUCGGAACCAGCAUGGCCGAGGGUCAUGGUGGUGGUCAUGGUCAUGGUCAUGGAGGUGGUCAUGGAGGUGGAAAGGGUCAUGGCGGCAAAGGUCAUGGUGGUGGCCAUGGGGGCAAGGGACACGGAGGCCAUGGUGGCGGACACGGGGGCAAAGGACAUGGAGGCGGCCAUGGGGGAAAGGGGCACCAUGGAUAAACAUAGCAGCUGAAAGAUGUGUGACGAGAAAGCCCUUGUUUUUUAUUCCACUGCUGCUGGACAACGGGGAAACAACAACUCAUGUAAAACAUGAUGAUCUUGUAUUUUGUUUGACCAGACCUCUGAAUAAAAAUACACUCCAAAGUGUUAAAUCUGA